rnacentral:rRNA from 1 species
AGAGUUUGAUUCUGGCUCAGGAUUAGCGCUGGCGGCAUGCCUAAUACAUGCAAGUCGAAUGGUAGCUUGCUAACCAUGGCGAACGGGUGAGUAACACGUAGGUAACCUGUCUUCAAGACGAGGAUAACCAUUGGAAACGAUGGAUAAUACUGGAUAGGACAAAUCCCCCGCAUGAGGAGAUGUUUAAAGGAGCAAUCCACUUGAUGAGGGGCCUGCGGUGCAUUAGUUAGUUGGUGAGGUAACGGCCCACCAAGACGAUGAUGCAUAGCCGGACUGAGAGGUUGAACGGCCACAAUGGAACUGAGAACGGUCCAUACUCCUACGGGAGGCAGCAGUAGGGAAUUUUCGGCAAUGGGCGGAAGCCUGGAACCCGAGCAAUGCCGCGUGAAUGAAGAAGUUAUUUCGGUAUGUAAAGUUCUUUUAUUUGGGAAGAAAAAACAAAUUGACGGUACCAAAUGAAUAAGCUCCGGCUAACUACGUGCCAGCAGCGGC